AGCCAAGUCAGAACUCCCCUCCCCUCCCCCCGGGCCUGUGUCCCCCUCACUGGGACGUGUGAGCCCUGCAUCUAUACUAGUCUCUGCCUGGCUCUAGGAUCGUCCCCUGAAUGUCGUCGGCUGUUUUCUUCUGGCCGAUCCGGCCUGUGGGGAAUAGAUAAGGUGAAGAACUUACAGGAAUGUAUGAAUUCUUUUUCUGUAUUUUAUUAUUUCUGUGUCUCCCCUAUGACCUGUAUAUGUGCAGGCUCAUAUCUACUUGAACCUUGGCCAACUAGAAACAUAUUUACUUAACCUGAACUGAUGACAUUUAUUGGUAUUUGACAUUUAUCAAUAUUUAGUCUAUUAGCUGGACCACUGUCUGCUUGAUUAAGCCUGAAGGCCUGACUUUGUUUCCCAGAAAUCAGGAGAUUUCAGGGAAACAGAAACCUUCCAUUCCAAUCUCCCCAAGUAGCAACAACCAAUUAGAUGCCUCCCCCUCCCCUUUCAAUGCUCUCUUACUUGUGAUGUAAUUUCUUGUAUAAAAGCUAUAUAUCUUUACUACUUCUUUAGCCCUCCUACCGUGAGCUUAUCUUGUGAUGGGACGGCUCAUCCUCCGGAGGUUUUUCAAUAAACAACUUUUCUGCCUUCUACUGAGGGAUCUCUGAGUAGUCAUUUUGGGUAAGGGUCUUCUACAUCCCUCACAGAUGGGGGCUCGUCCGGGAUGGGGUCUUUGGGGGAGACAGCUAUGUACACCCCGAACAGGGACAGGCGCCCAUGGAGUAGUUUUCUCCAUCGUCUCUGGCUCUGGGUGAGCAGCCUCCCUCCCCUUUUAGACAACAACCCGAAGCAGGAAUACUCAGUGGAAUGCAGAAUUGAAGAUUGAAAGAAGUAGAGUCCUGAUGGCCAGCAUUUGCAGCCUGAAAAGAAACAUAUGUUCUCGAGAUUAUUGAAUCUCUUCUGAGACAUGGAUCGGCCCAUCUGAAGCUUAGAUUGACACCACACCCACACCCCUGCAUGGAUUGAGCACCUUCGCCCAUUUCUCAGCCUGAAGCAGCUAAGAUCGAGACCAUCGCCAGUGCUCCUGAUGUAAUUUGGACUGAUAUGGGGGAAGUGGGAAAGUAGUUGAUGAAUUAUUGUUAAAAUUACAACUCUAUUACUAGAGUUAGAAAAAAAAUGCAAACAUUACUGUGUGUUUAAGAUUUGGGAUGGAAAUUAUUAAAAAUGGUAACUAUUGCUGUUAAGGAAGCUAUAAAAUGUUUAUAAUAUCUAUGUUCACUUCAGAAUAUGUAAUUGUUUAAGGUAUUUGAUUUGAUUUGAUUGAUUUUAGGAAACUCCUCCUGUACUAGACUAUUAUGUAUAGGAACUUUAAUUCACUCUUGGGAUUUAUAUGUUGAUGGUUAUUUGACUGUUUACUUUUUUUUUUUUUUUUUUGGAUGAUUCCUUUCCAUGAGGAAAAAAAAGGAGAGGAAGAGAUAGGGAACUAGGGAAACUGGUGGAUUUUUCUCAAAAUACCUAAAAGAGUGGGAACCCUUAGUUUUCUUUCACUUUUGCCUUACGUACUUCUGCCCCAUCCCCUAUACAUUCAGAUUAAAUUGGAAGUCCUUAAGCAAUUCUUUUUGUUUUUACUAUGUUUUAGCUUUGAAACCCCUCAUUCUGUGGAAUUGCCCUGGCAGACUCAGUUUUGGGAACUAUUCUAUUUUUAAGAAAUCUCCAAGAUAAAGACACUUAUCUUGGGACUGGCAGUCUCCAGCCCUGUAACCCCAGUUUCUUAACUGGUAUCUCAGCAUUUUUAUAACAUUGCCCUUUUGAGAUCAAGUUCUAAAGUUUGGAGUUUGCCUGCCUUCAUGUUCUAACUGUGCAUGCUCUGAUAGCUCUGCUCAGAAAUCUGUAUUCUAGUAGCAGCCCUGUCUGUCCCCCUGGGUGGGGACAGGUGGAGCUACACUAAGCCUCACCCUUCUCCCCUGGAGUGGGUUGCCCCACUGAAUGGGCAGCAUGACUGUCUCGAGCCCUGCUACUCCCUUUAUAAGCAGAAGCUGAGUUAAGUGCACAAAUAACUGCAGACCACCUAACACAGUGAACUGUCCAUCUCAAACUGGAUUCUCUGGCUGAGAUGAGGGCUUUUGUACUGCUGAUAACUCUGGGGUUGUCAGGAAGAGACUUGUCCUUGAGUUUCAUUUUGACUUAUUUGCCUCACAUUGGAUUGGUCAAAAUUAUGGUGCUGAGACCUCCCAGGUUUCUAGGGAAGGUAAUUCAAUAAUUCAAAUAUUCAGAAGAAGAGUGUGUAAUGUUGUACCUCAGUUUCCCUAGAUUGUCAUCUUUAUUUAUCUUUGUAUUUUUAUGUUUGCCAAAUGCCAAUCUGUUCUGUGAUAACUGUUUCUAAGAUAGUUGAUGGAAGCAAUUUUUAUGGUAUGAACUUAUUGCAAUCAAUGGUAUUAUCCUGUUGCUGCUAUGUCUAUCCUGUAUAAUUACAUUAGUAACCAGAAUAGUUCAGUGGUCCCUAUCAAAAUAUUGUAUACAGAAGAUGCUAUUAAAAUGAUAAUUCUUCAGAGAAAAGACUGGAAUGUAUUAAAGAGGGAUGAUCUUGAUUGUGAACUUGAUAAACAAUGUAUAGAUAUAUUAACUGAUUUUGAAAAGUGUGUAAGUUCUUCAUAGAAAUAUGAUAAAAAUCAUUUACAUGUUAGAAGGGGGGAGCUGUGGGGAAUAGAUAAGGUGAAGAACUUACAGGGAUGUAUGAAUUCUUUUUCUGUAUUUUAUUAUUUCUGUGUCUCCCCUAUGACCUGUAUAUGUGCAGGUUCAUAUCUACUUGAGCCUUGGCCAGCUAGAAACAUAUUUACUUAACCUGAACUGAUGACAUUUAUCAAUAUUUAGUCUAUUAGCUGGACCACUGUCUGCUUGAUUAAGCCUGAAGGCCUGACUUUGUUUCCCAGAAAUCAGGAGAUUUCAGGGAAACAGAAACCUUCCAUUCCAAUCUCCCCAAGUAGCAACAACCAAUUAGAUGCCUCCCCCUCCCCUUUCAAUGCUCUCUUACUUGUGAUGUAAUUUCUUGUAUAAAAGCUAUGUAUCUUUACUACUUCUUUAGCCCUCCUACCGCGAGUUUAUCUUGCGAUGGGACGGCUCAUCCUCCGGAGGUUUUUCAAUAAACAACUUUUCUGCCUUCUA